rnacentral:siRNA from 1 species
AUGGAUGAGCCGACCAGAGAUGG